rnacentral:rRNA from 1 species
AUUCCAGCUCCAAUAGCGUAUAUUAAAGUUGUUGCAGUUAAAAAGCUCGUAGUUGGAUUUCUGGUAGGAGCGACCGUGCCGAACUUGAUUGUUCGUGUAUUGUGUUGUCUUCAGCCAUCCUCGUGGAGAACUUUUCUAACAUUAACUUGUUGGGAUUGGGACCCGCGUCGUUUACUGUGAAAAAAUUAGAGUGUUUAAAGCAGGCAUUAGCUUGAAUACAUUAGCAUGGAAUAAUAAGAUAGGACUUUGGUACUAUCUUGUUGGUUUGCAUACCAAAUUAAUGAUCAACAGGAACAGUUUGAGGAUAUUCGUAUGAACAUGUCGGAGGUGAGAUUCUUGGAUUUUGAUCAGACGAACUACUGCGAAAGCAUUUAUCAAGGAUGUUUUCAUCA